GCGCCAACAAAUUCCGUAGCGCUGUACAAUUGGUGGACUAACAGACACAUAAUUGAGAUCAGACCACUGACGUACAGGAACAGAGAGGGUUGAGGGCCCUGCUCGAUGAGCUUACAUGCUAGAGGGAGUGGGGUAUAGUGACACAAAGGGUUAAAGUAGGGGAAUUAAAUAGUUUGUUACAGAAGGGUUUAUUGAGUGCUUGGUAGGUCAUUUUUGACAGGUGAAGGAACGGAGUCAUGGGGUGGGGAAUGAGAAACCUGCUGACAGUUUAAUUGAUACGCUUUAAUGAAGAAGUGAGUUUUCAAAGAUUUUUUGAAGGAAUGGAGGCUGGGUGAAAGUCUGAUUGAGG